CUCAAACACACAGAGAUCCACCUGCCUCUGCCACCUGAGUGCUGGGAUUAAAGUUGGCACACCACCACCCGGCCAACUUUCAGAAUUAACUUGAGUGUGGUGGAUAAUUAGAGCUUAAAUUUCUAUGAAAGAUGCUGCCUGAAAGGAAAGUCCUAAGUAGUGAAGAGUCAAGUUGUGAGCAUUUGACAACCGCACAGCUAUGUUACUAAUAACCUUUUGACUCCUGAAUGUAGGUUUAGGGGCUUUCUCUUUUUGUUGCUGAGCGAGAGAGAAUGAGCUCAUCAGAGGACAUAUGGAGGUCAGAGGACAACUUGAGUGAGUUGUCUUUCUUUAUUCCACCAUGUGAAACCAAGGAUUGAACUUAGGUUGUCAAGCUUUUGUGGCAAGUAGCCUUACCCACUGAGUCAUAAUGCUAGCCUAAGGGCCUUAAUUCUUGAUGAAAUAAGAAAAUGGGUAAAUGAGAUCCUUCAACCUACCAGCAGCAUUAAAACAUAGCUUAAGCUUAAAAAAUAGUCACCUGCUCAGCAACUGACAUCCUCCUGUUUGGAUCAACAUCUCGGCCCUCUAGCUUGGCUUUCACUCUCUUCCACACACUCACUGCAUAGGAGUUUCUCUCUUGCACAGCUAUAAAGCAAUGACACGUUAGUCAAACCAACCUUUGUGUAUUAUACAAUUAUAAGGCAUUCAUACUCUGAUUACCUUUCCCUGUUUUAGGAUCUCUGACAGCCUUUUUGGGACUACAAACAAUGCUCUUGCCAGUUCCUGGGAUGGUGCUUGGUGGAGUAUCUGCUGAUUUCUUUCAAAGUGGGAGUGAUUUCCUGCAGCAUUUCAACAUGUUCUUGACUUCGAACCUGACCCAUGGCCUGGACUAACGUGAACAAAACUGUCUGGAUGUUGUCUUGCCAUGAUUUAUACUCAGCCAGGAAUUGUCUGACACUGCUCUCAUAGGGGAUAUCUUCAGCAUCUGCUAGAGCAGCCUCUUCAUCCUGCCACCAAUGCACAAUCCAUUAGUAACAGACUUGUUCGUUGCAGCAAUUCCUCUCAAGACAGUCACCUUGUGAUCAAGAUGUAAUAAAUGACCUAAAUACCA